CGGGACGGGUGAGUAACGCGUGGGUAACCUACCCUGUACACACAGAUAACAUACCGAAAGGUAUGCUAAUACGGGAUAAUAUAUUUGAGAGGCAUCUCUUGAAUAUCAAAGGUGAGCCAGUACAGGAUGGACCCGCGUCUGAUUAGCUAGUUGGUAAGGUAACGGCUUACCAAGGCGACGAUCAGUAGCCGACCUGAGAGGGUGAUCGGCCACAUUGAAACUGAGACACGGUCCAA
rnacentral:rRNA from 1 species